CUUUACCAAGGUCUUGGUUGUGUGAUUCAGUGCCCUUUUUCAGAGAGCUUUUAGCAAAUAUUAUUCUACUAUUAAAGAAAAAGUGAAGACAAAGAGACCAGAGAUUGAGGGCUGAGUGGCAAAGUUUUACCACUAAGCAGGGAACUCAGUUUAGCACAGAGCAGGGUGAAACUGAAGGAGGAGAAAAGAAAGAUGUUUGUAAUGACUGAAGAUUGAAGACUCUGUUUUGUGCAUAUAUGAAAAUAUAUGCGGGAAAUGGGGAAGGCAAAGACGGUAAUUGUCAGGCCUCUGAGCCCAAGCUAAGCCAUCAUAUCCCCUGUGACCUGCACCUACACAUCCAGAUGGCCGGUUCCUGCCUUAACUGAUGACAUUCCACCACAAAAGAAGUGAAAAUGGCCUGUUCCUGCCUUAACUGAUGGCAUUAUCUUGUGAAAUUCCUUCUCCUGGCUCAUCCUGGCUCAAAAGCUCCCCUACUGAGCACCUUGGGACCCCCACUCCUGCCCGCCAGAAAACAACCCCCCUUUUUCCUUUACCUACCCAAAUCCUAUAAAAUGGCCCCACCCCUAUCUCCCU
rnacentral:lncRNA from 10 species